AGCCGUAGCCACUGGCCUAUGCUAGAGCCACAGCAAUGCGGGAUCCGAGCUGCAUCUGCAACCUACACCCCAGCUCGCGGCAGUGCUGGAUCCUUAACCCACUGAGCGGGGCCAGAUACUGAACGCACAUCCUUAUGGAUGCCAGUCGGCUUCAUUCACCACCGAGCCGUGGCAGGAAUCCCCAUUUCUUUAAAUACAGAUUUUGUCCCCAAGUUUAGUUGUUUCAGAUAUGAGGGUAAAUCUAGUUCCUAUUACUCCAUAUGACUAGCUCCUCGGUCCUGAGAUUUGAUGAGAAUAUGUUUAAGCACUCGUCGAAAACCAAUGGGGUCGGGUCAAACAAGGGGAACACAUUUGGAAGUAAAAAAACUGAUUUUCUUUACAUGCGGAAUCUGAGGCAACUGGUUUAAAUUACUGAAGCUUUUUCAUGAGGAUUUGGCUAAUUCAAGAUAGUUUCUUGUAUCUAAAUAGUUACACACUCAUAAUUACAGAGAAUGCAGUGACAUUCAACCUAAGAUUGGGUCCAUGGUUUAUGCAGACAUUGCCCAGAUGACCCAGAGGUGCUUGGGGAUGCUGUGCCCUGGACAGGGAGGUGCCUCUCCUGGGAAGAGGGUUUUCCCUUUGCUCUUCCUGUGUGUCUCUGAGCAAAACCACACUGAGCACAGGAGAAACCCCACUUGGGUUUGAUGGAUGAAUGAACGGGUGUCGGAGUGGCUUCCAUGGGCUUCCUUCCUCCCACCUUGUUCAGAUUUAGGUACUGUGGUUCGCUCUCCCGGCCGCCUGCAGAUUUUCCCGAGAAGUAAAAAGUGACCCACCUCUCAGAGCCAGAAAAGCACAGCAAAGAAAGCAAGCAUCUUCGAGAAGAUGGUACCUACUUGUCUCUGGUAAACGCAUAGGCAACCACAUCCUUUAAAGCAGCAAGCACGGUGCUUAUCACAAGUGCACAGACACCUGGAAAAUACACACAAGACAACGGGAAAUGGCAGCUCUGCAGGCAGGGAUCAAGCCCUGGACUGACUGCUCACGAGGGAUCUGGGUCAAUAAUUGAAGAAAUGUAACCACGAAACUGUUUCUUCUCAUCGCGGAGGAAAAGAGCAACUAAGUCGGGAGAGUCUAACUCCUUUUCUGAAGGGAGACUCGGAGAGAUGCUCAGUAGACACCACCACACUCAGGAAAGUCUCUGAUGAGCAGAUUCCAGGACAUUCCAACUGUCUGAGAGGCAGUGGUCCAGGGACCAGGAGAGCUGGACACACAGACUCUGGUCAGAAAUAAGCCUGCCCAUGAUAACAACUGCCUUCGAAAUAGUCCCCUUGGUACCAAGUGGAACAGAAUUUAGUUGGUACCUAGUAGCAGAAAAUCACGCUUAGAAGCUUUACUUAACUGAGUAUCCUGGAAAUGGCGUAAAGAACAAAGAUUUCGGUUGAGUUUAUAUGUACCAAAAGCCACAAGCUGCUGGCAGGGACUGCCUCCCUCCCAUGUUUGCUGAAUUAGCCUGCCAGGUGUUGUGCUGAAGAUUUCAUAUGCUUUAUCCUAUUCAGUCUUCACCUGCCAAGUUGGGAUUCUUUUUCCCAUUUUGCGUAUGAGGAAACUGAAGCUCAGAAUGGUUAAGUAAGAAGCCCAGCAGCACACAGCUGGGAAGCCUCCUGGCCAGGACCCACACCCAGCAGUGAGUCUGGCUUCCCUGUCCCCGUGCUGUCUCACUCCUAUCCCAGCGGAUAGCACAGCACUGCCUUACCGUGUAGGCUGCAGUAACCAGUUCAUAAACCACGGCCUGGGCGCCAAGCUCUGUCACGCUUAUCAGUCCUGAAAUGUUCAAAAAUGGAGUAAAGUGAACGUUUUCCUUAAAAAACUAGAGGAGAAGAGGAGAUUGCCCCUGGAAGCAUAACCCAGUGACAGGAGUCACUGUCUGUGCCGAGGAGAACCCCAGAGUCCACUCCCAGGAAGCUUCUGAGAACCUCAGCAGCUAUGCUGUCAUAUAGGCUUGUUCCUGAAGUGCCUACUCCACCUGGGAACAGCGCCCAGGGCUUAUGGUAGAAAACAGCGAGGUGCCCAGAGGCACAGGUCAUCCCUCAGGAAGACAGAGGGCCACAGCGUGCAUGGGAGGACAGAGGGCCGAGGAACCCAUGAGAAGUGAUGGGGCCAUUCAUGUGUCUACAGAAAUAUCCACUCAAGUAGUGUCCUCCAUCUCUGUUUUCUCUAUUCCUUCACUAGCGGUGGAGGCCAAGGUGAACGCCCAUGACCAAAGGCAUUACAAGUCUCAAAGAAACAGAGCAAGGCUACAACAGAGCCAAAUCAGUCACUCUGUCAAUGCCCUGGCCACUUGGCACGGUGCCUAGCACAAGUCAGCUGAGACAGAAGGUGGCCAAAGAGUCGAGAACUAGACUUGGGUUUUGUUCUCCUGCUCCAUGACCUUGGCAGAUCACUCCAUGACCUUGGAAGGCCACUCCAUGACCUCAGCACUUCACUCCAUGACCAUGGCAGGUUGCUCCAUGAUCUUGGCAAGCCUCCCUUGCGAAGCUACGAAAUGAAAGGGAGUGGAGUAGCACAAAGCCUCACCAACCUGCAGAUGCUUAUGGUCGGAUGAAGAUUUAAACCCAAACUGAAACUUUCCACAAGAGCCCAAUGAAGCUGAGAGGAAGGAGAAGCCAGCUUGGGUUCCCGGAAAAGCUCUGGAGACAUGGUUAGCCAGGUUAUUGACAGGUUUCCUCUGAACUCUUGACAAACCUGCAAGGAAGGUUCCAACCUCAAAAGUCCACCACUCGAUGCACACCAUGAACAUGCUGGGGAUGGCCAGCUGGAUGAAGGACCCCCACUCCUGGAAACAGUCCAUGGUCCAGCCUAGAGGAUGGGGACAACAGCACUUAGCUUUCCAUGGUUUGGUACCAGCAGUUCCAUUCUACAUGCCUGCCUCCCCCAAAUGCCCAGAGACGGGGAGGGACCACUGUUCACCAGAAAAGUCAUACAGUUCAAAGAUGUCAACGAGACCAGCGUUUGUGUGCUGACACACACAGCAGAGAAACUUUCAUUGAGCCCUGUAAGAAACCUUGGAGGGUAUUCACUGGGUUGGUGUGCUCGUAUGGGGGUCGGGGGAGAGACAAUCACUAGGGAACUAGAAAAAUGUGGUGGAUGCGUACUACAGGUAAAAGCAGACCACUGGGCGUACACAUGGCAGUACAGAUAGGUCUUCAAUAUGCUAUACUCACAGACAACUAAAGUAAAAAUAAGAUGGAUUGGGCUACAUCCAAAUGUAAAACUUCUCUGUGUUAAAGGACACGAUCAACAGAAUGAAAGGUAGCCCACAGAACAGGAGAAAAUAUCUGCAAAUCAUCAAUCUGAUAAGGAUAUCUGGACCGUAUAAUAUCCAGACUAUAGAAAGAACUCCUACACCUUGACAGGAACAAUGAUUUUAAAAAUGGGCCAAGGGCUUGAAUAGACCUUUCUCCAAAGAGGAUACACAAAUAGUCAACAAGAACUUUUUAAAAAAAUGAUCAAUGCCACUGAUCAUUAGGAAAAUGCAAAUCAAAACCACAAUAAGAUAUCAUCUGACACCCACCAGAAUGGCUGCUUAAAAACAACCUACAGAAAAUAACAAGUAUUGGUGAGGAUGUGGAUAAAUUGGAACCUUUGUACACUGUUGGUGACAAUGUAAAAUGGUGUAGCCACUGUGGGAAAACAGUAUGGUUGUUCCUCAAAAAAUUAAAAAAUAGAGCUACCAUAUGGUCCAGCAAUAUUAUUUCCAGAUACACACACACACACACACACACACACAAUAAUUGAAAGAAGGAUCUCCAAGAUUUUUACACCCAUGUUCGUAACAGCAUUAUCUGCAAUAAUCAAAAGGUAGAAGCAACUCAAAUAUCCAUUCACAGAUGAAUAAAUAAGGAAAAUAUGGCCUAUACAUGCCAUGGAAUAUUAUCCAAACUUUAAAAGGAAGGAAAUUCUGACACAUGUUACAAAAUGGAUGAAUCUUGAGAUUAUUAUGCUAAAUGAAAUAAACCAGUCACAAAAAGAUAAA
rnacentral:lncRNA from 1 species